rnacentral:rRNA from 1 species
AUUGAACGCUGGCGGCAGGCCUAACACAUGCAAGUCGAACGAGCGGCGGACGGGUGAGUAAUGUCUGGGAACCUGCCUGAUGGAGGGGGAUAACUACUGGAAACGGUAGCUAAUACCGCAUACCAUCGGAUGUGCCCAGAUGGGAUUAGCUAGUAGGUGGGGUAAAGGCUCACCUAGGCGACGAUCCCUAGCUGGUCUGAGAGGAUGACCGGCCACACUGGAACUGAGACACGGUCCAGACGCCUACGGGAGGCAGCAGUGGGGAAUAUUGCACAAUGGGCGCAAGCCUGAUGCAGCCAUGCCGCGUGUGUGAAGAAGGCUUUCGGGUUGUAAAGCACGUUCAGCGGGGAGGCGUUACCCGCAGAAGAAGCACCGGCUAACUCCGUGCCAGCAGCCGCGGUAAUAC